AUUGAACGCUGGCGGCAGGCCUAACACAUGCAAGUCGAGCGAGCGGCGGACGGGUGAGUAAUGUCUGGGAAACUGCCUGAUGGAGGGGGAUAACUACUGGAAACGGUAGCUAAUACCGCAUACCAUCAGAUGUGCCCAGAUGGGAUUAGCUAGUCGGUGGGGUAACGGCUCACCUAGGCGACGAUCCCUAGCUGGUCUGAGAGGAUGACCAGCCAAGCUGGAAAUGUGACACGGUCCAGACUCCUACGGGGGGCAGCAGUGGGAAAUAUUUCACAAUGGGCGCAAGCCUGAUGCGUCCAUGCCGCGUGUGUGAAGAAGGCCUUCAGGUUGUGAAGCACUUUCAGCGGGGAGGCGUUACCCGCAGAAGAAGCACCGGCUAGCUCCGUGCCAGCCGCCACGGUGAUAC
rnacentral:rRNA from 1 species